UGCAGCGAACAUUCUAGAUGUUUGAGAAGAGUAGAAGACUAGAACGUGCCGUGUGCGCGACUUCCCGUACAUUAGCCACUUAUCACUUAUGAUAAGAUUAAAUUAUGUCGAGCUUAUAAUAUUUAUUUGUGAAAAUUAUCGGGCCGAUACUAUGAAGUAUAAACUAUUAUAUUAUUUUUGGAGGAUCAUAAUAACUAAAGAGAAUCGAUUCCUCGUGGUAAUGCAAGUAAAGGAUCUCAAAAAUAUUAUAAGGUAAU